ensembl:lncRNA
CAGGAAGUAAGUGCAGGAGCACUGUCUUUAUUAAUAAAUCAAUGACACAAACAAACAAACACGGGAACGCGGUCUAUCCAGAGUUAAUGAGAAAACAUGGGACUAGAGUCGAGGCAGAAAACAGGACAUGAAAACAAAGACCGCUUAGCCUGCUAAACAUAGAUGCUACACCGUUCAAACUGAUCCUUCUCACACAGAUUGUCAGAAUUUCAACAAUCAAGAGAGUGUCCAGGUGUCCAGAUUACGUAGUUGUGGUAAGUGAAUUUUUCAAAAAGGUGUGUCCAGAGCUUGUUGAUUUAGAAAUGCUUACAGUAUAUUAGGCUAUAUAUACACCUUGAUUUACUGUGCGAGAUUCACAACAUCAAGCUGAGAAAGAUGUCUGGAAAGAACAUGAAUGGUACCUGUGGUAGCAUUCAGACACGACUGAGACCUAGUGUGCGCGCCGUGAGCGAGUCCCCUUCUCCCCCUGAAUCCGCGUCCCCGAGCAGUGAACCUGUACAACCGCUGCUGUAGCGGCCUUGUUAAAGGAGGCGUUUGGUCUGGAGAAGGAGCCGGUUCUGGACCGGUCCCACCUGACCCUUCAGCCAAAGCCCAAACCUGGUGAAUGACCAUGAGCAAUUGUGUGCAGAUUCCACUAUCACAGUGACUGUGUUGAUAUCUUACGCCAUGCGAGAGAGCUCCAGCGGAUUAAAGUGAGGGAUUUGACCAUCUCCAUUUUCCCUGACUACACAGCCAAGACAGCCCGGGCCGCGUUUAACGAUGUUCGGCGUCAACUUCGUGGUAUUGAGGGAGCUCGCUAUGGAAUACUUCACCCAGCUCGGCUUCUCAUUACAUAUAACGGUGUUCAGAAGGACUUUAUUUCAGCGAAGGAAGCAGGAGACUACGUUAAACUCUUGAUAUCG